ACUCCUACGGGAGGCAGCAGUGGGGAAUAUUGGACAAUGGGCGCAAGCCUGAUCCAGCCAUGCCGCGUGAGUGAUGAAGGCCCUAGGGUUGUAAAGCUCUUUCACCGGUGAAGAUAAUGACGGUAACCGGAGAAGAAGCCCCGGCUAACUUCGUGCCAGCAGCCGCGGUAAUACGAAGGGGGCUAGCGUUGUUCGGAUUUACUGGGCGUAAAGCGCACGUAGGCGGACUAUUAAGUCAGGGGUGAAAUCCCGGGGCUCAACCCCGGAACUGCCUUUGAUACUGGUAGUCUUGAGUUCGAGAGAGGUGAGUGGAAUUCCGGGUGUAGAGGUGAAAUUCGUAGAUAUUCGGAGGAACACCAUUGGCGAAGGCGGCUCACUGGCUCGAUACUGACGCUGAGGUGCGAAAGCGUGGGGAGCAAACAGGAUUAGAUACCCGGGUAGUCCCAU
rnacentral:rRNA from 1 species